UACGGAGGGUGCAAGCGUUAAUCGGAAUUACUGGGCGUAAAGGGUGCGUAGGUUGUUUUUUAAGUUAUCUGUAAAAUCCCUGGGCUUAACCUGGGCAUGUCAGAUAAGACUGAGAGACUCGAGUAUAGGAGAGGGUAGUGGAAUUUCCGGUGUAGCGGUGAAAUGCGUAGAGAUCGGAAGGAACACCAGUGGCGAAGGCGGCUACCUGGCCUAAUACUGACACUGAGGCACGAAAGCGUGGGGAGCAAACAGG
rnacentral:rRNA from 1 species